CCUACGGGAGGCAGCAGUGGGGAAUAUUGCGCAAUGGGCGAAAGCCUGACGCAGCGACGCCGCGUGAGGGAUGAAGGUCUUCGGAUCGUAAACCUCUGUCAGCAUGGAAGAACGGUCACUGUGCUAAUCAGCAGUGAAUUGACGGUACCUGCAAAGGAAGCACCGGCUAACUCCGUGCCAGCAGCUGCGGUAAUACGGCGGGUGCGAGCGUUAAUCGGAAUUACUGGGCGUAAAGCGCUCGUAGGCGGUAUGUCAAGUCAAGGGGGAAAUCCCCGCGCUCAACGUGGGAACUGCCUUUGAAACUGGCAAACUGGAGUGUGUGAGAGGAUAGUGGAAUUCCAGGUGUAGGAGUGAAAUCCGUAGAUAUCUGGAGGAACAUCAGUGGCGAAGGCGACUAUCUGGCACAUAACUGACGCUGAGGAGCGAAAGCGUGGGUAGCAAACAGGAUUAGAUACCCCAGUAGUC
rnacentral:rRNA from 1 species